rnacentral:tRNA from 1 species
GAUCCCAUCGUCUAGUGGUCUAGGACAUCGCCCUCUCACGGCGAAAACGCGGGUUCGAGUCCCGCUGGGAUCACCA